UGGGGAAUAUUGGGCAAUGGGCGAAAGCCUGACCCAGCAACGCCGCGUGAAUGAUGAAGGUCUUCGGAUCGUAAAGUUCUGUUGCAGGGGAAGAUAAUGACGGUACCCUGUGAGGAAGCCCCGGCUAACUACGUGCCAGCAGCCGCGGUAAUACGUAGGGGGCUAGCGUUAUCCGGAUUUACUGGGCGUAAAGGGUGCGUAGGUGGUCUUUCAAGUCGGUGGUUAAAGGCUACGGCUCAACCGUAGUUAGCCUCCGAAACUGGAAGACUUGAGUGCAGGAGAGGAAAGUGGAAUUCCCAGUGUAGCGGUGAAAUGCGUAGAUAUUGGGAGGAACACCAGUAGCGAAGGCGGCUUUCUGGACUGCAACUGACACUGAGGCACGAAAGCGUGGGUAGCAAACAGG
rnacentral:rRNA from 1 species